GUCGCUUCUUGGCCUUUUGGCUAAGAUCAAGUACAGUAUCUGUUCUGAUCAGAUUAAUAUCAGCUCUGUCCUCUGCCCAAGGACAAUAUAUUAAAUGGGGUUUUGGAGCAGGGAGGUGGAAUAGGAGUUGGCUUCGUCCACUCUGAGUGUCUGUUAGCACUUCCGGGAGUGGUGCACACAAA